rnacentral:rRNA from 1 species
UACGUAGGGGGCUAGCGUUGUCCGGAUUUAUUGGGCGUAAAGAGCGUGUAGGCGGCCAGAUAGGUCCUCUGUGAAAACUCGAGGCUUAACCUCGAGAUGUCGGUGGAAACCAUUUGGCUAGAGUCCGGAAGAGGAGAGUGGAAUUCCUGGUGUAGCGGUGAAAUGCGCAGAUAUCAGGAAGAACACCAAUGGCGAAAGCAGCUCUCUGGGACGGUACUGACGCUGAGACGCGAAAGCGUGGGGAGCGAACAGG